AGUCUCAGUCUGGCAGGGUAGACACCAUGCCCAGACAGUUGUUUUUCCCAGGGUGAGGAUGUACUAGUAUUCUAGCUGCUCUGACCUUGUGAUUUUCCCAAACACAGGAAAUUUGACUGCAUAAUUUGUACAAUGUC
ensembl:snRNA U1 U1 spliceosomal RNA